rnacentral:rRNA from 1 species
UGGGCUUGACAUCCCACGAACCUGCCGAAAGGCAGGAGUGCCCGCAAGAGAGCGCGGAGACAGGUGGUGCAUGGCUGUCGUCAGCUCGUGUCGUGAGAUGUUGGGUUAAGUCCCGCAACGAGCGCAACCCUUGUCCUCUGUUGCCAUCAGGUGAUGCUGGGCACUCUGGGGAGACUGCCGGUGACAAACCGGAGGAAGGUGGGGAUGACGUCAAGUCAGCAUGGCCUUUAUGUCUGGGGCUACACACGUGCUACAAUGGCCGGUACAAAGCGCCGCGAUCCCGCAAGGGUGAGCUAAUCGCAAAAAGCCGGCCUCAGUUCGGAUUACAGGCUGCAACCCGCCUGCAUGAAGUCGGAAUCGCUAGUAAUCGCAGAUCAGCAGGCUGCGGUGAAUACGUUCCCGGGCCUUGUACACACCGCCCGUCACAUCACGAAAGCUGGCUGUACUCGAAGUCGCUGAGA